rnacentral:misc_RNA from 1 species
UUACCCCUCAAGCCCCCGUGCUUGGUGUUGGACGGCCUGGCUGGGCGUUACUGCUCGGCCCCUCCUAAAGAUAACGACGGCGGUCCGUGGAACCCCCGGUACACUGAGCUUCUUUACCGAGCACGUACCGGAAACAGGGCGCCCGGGCGACGGUCUGAAACCCCCCUUUAUUUCUCAA